GCCCCUGCCCUUGGUGGGCUACAAGGGCCUGCGGCAGGGGGUCAGGCUGCAGCGCAUCCGGCAGUCCUGGUGCCAAGUGAAGAGCAGCGUGCGGAGGAGCGUCGGGGCCGAGCGGGGCCGGCUGUGGCUGGCAGGGAGCUCGGCACCCAAGGGCACUAUGGAAGCUGACCCGAAGCUGCCGUUCCAUCUCCGGUUUCAGGUCAAUGUGCUCUUCCACACCAUGGCGAUGCAGGCGUAAGGAGCACUGGCAAGAAAAGUCACCGUGACAGCCCCUUAAGCGUGGAUGGGAAUUUUGCGGAGAAACGCUUGAGGCGAGUUGGCCUAACCUACUCCCCAUCCUUCCCUCUCAGGUUUCCCUGCCUCCCUGCAGCCACACAACCACCCCGACGGCGUGUGCCAGGGCCCUGGCCGGGAUCCCUGGUGCGACAGAGAGGAGAAGGGACCAUCGCGGUGUCCCCGGCUGGUGAGAACCCGUCAGUCCCUGGGGAUGGGAGUGGGGGGCUGCUGCCAGGGCCACCAGCAGGUCCCCCCGGGGUGCCAGAGCAGCCCUGGUGCCACCAGGACCAGGUAGCCAUCGCAGUGGCCCAUCCUGGCCGAGGGGUGGAGGUCGGUGGCCCAGAGGGACCUUCCCGGGCCACUCUUCCGCAGGCCCUGUGCUACGUCUUGGGGUGUGCUACCCCUCCGAACCCCGACACAGGGGCUCUGGGGUGGCUGCUCCCCGAUGGCUUCACAAUCUCCCACGCCAGCUCAGCCCUGGGUUGACGUGGCAGCCACUGUGUGUCUACACGAUGUCACCACGGCAUCACAAAGGUGGCCCCCCUCUUAGCGGGUUGCGGGGAGGCUCGGGUGUCACUUUGACUGCACGCGAGCCAGCGAGCAGAUGGGCAAGCGUGUGGAAAACGCAGCAGAGAUGGGAGGAGAAGCAAACAAGCAGAACCGCUGGAGGAGAUGCUGGCGAUCCCUGCGCGAGAUGGAGGAGUGGAAGCUGACGGUGCUGCUCUUCCUCUCCAGCCUGAGCCUCUGGGGGCUCUGCACGCUCGUGCUGCCCUGCACCACCAGCUUGGUGGCCGUCCUGGGUCUGGGCAUCUUCAUGACCUGGUGGCCCAACAUCAAGGCCAAGGUCAAGGUAGGCGUCCGUCUUGGCAUCGCCCCAAACGCUCCCUGGGCAGGGGCUAGCCCGG
rnacentral:lncRNA from 1 species